rnacentral:rRNA from 1 species
UGGGGAAUUUUGCACAAUGGGGGAAACCCUGAUGCAGCGACGCCGCGUGAUUUAGAAGGCCUUCGGGUUGUAAAAAUCUUUUUUACGGGAUGAAAAUGACAGUACCGUAAGAAUAAGGUCCGGCUAAAUACGUGCCAGCAGCCGCGGUAAUACGUAUGGACCGAGCGUUGUCCGGAAUCAUUGGGCGUAAAGGGUACGUAGGCGGCCUAGUAAGUUAGAAGUGAAAUAAUAUAGUUCAACUAUAUAAAGCUUUUAAAACUGCUAGGCUUGAGAGAUGGAAGGGAAAGUGGAAUUCCUAGUGUAGCGGUGAAAUGCGCAGAUAUUAGGAAGAAUACCGGUGGCGAAGGCGACUUUCUGGUCAUCAUCUGACGCUGAGGUACGAAAGCGUGGGUAGCAAGCAGG